rnacentral:piRNA from 1 species
AACUUGGAAGAAUACUUAGAAAUUGC